rnacentral:miRNA from 1 species
UGGUGGUUUUCAAAGUAAUUCA